AGCACGUCACUUCCGUCACAGGGCACUCGGAACGCAAAGUCGAAGCAGGCAUCCUCUCCCCAACGCGGCCACACACCCUCGAUCUCCGCUAUAAAGCCCGGUCUCCGAUCCCCGAUGCCUUCUCGCCCCGCCCCGUUCGUCCACCGCUUCCGCCUCCUGAGAAGCGCCGCCGUCUCCCCUUCCUCCGCGCCGCUGCCGUGCAGCCGCCCGCGCCUCGCCAUCCCCUUCGCGCAGCCGACGCUCCGCGCCCCCGCCUUCGCCGCCGCCUCGUCGCCGCUGCUCCGCCCGGUCGGCGCCAGGUUCUCGCUGUUCAGCAGCAUGGCCGCCGCCGCCUCCUCCGCCUCCUCCGUCCACGACUUCACCGUCAAGGAUGCGAGUGGAAAAGAUGUCGACCUGAGCACCUACAAGGGGAAGGUUCUCCUCAUUGUCAAUGUUGCAUCCCAGUGUUUUAUUUAAAUCCCCAUGUGCACGGAACUCGCUCAAUUGUACACGGAACUCGCUCAAUUGUACGAGAAGUACAAGGACCAGGGUUUUGAGAUCCUUGCUUUCCCAUGCAACCAGUUUGGUGGGCAGGAACCCGGCACUAAUGAGGAAAUUGUUCAGUUUGCUUGCACUCGCUUUAAGGCCGAGUAUCCAAUUUUUGACAAGGUUGAUGUCAAUGGUGACAAUGUUGCACCUGUCUACAAGUUUCUGAAGUCCAGAAAAGGCAGUCUCUUCGGGGACAACAUCAAAUGGAACUUCUCCAAGUUCUUGGUUGACAAGGAGGGGCAUGUUGUGGAUCGCUACGCGCCAACCACCUCCCCCCUCAGCAUCGAGAAGGACAUCAAGAAGCUGCUCGCGAGUUCUUAAACCUUGUUGCUGCAUCAACUAGAUGCAUUGGUGCAUCGCCUGAAGCUUUCAGUAUAAUGUUGUAAUAAAGGCUGUGCAGUCCAAUCUCGUAGUUGUAUAUGACAUGUAAUGGAUUUCGUGGAAUGUGUUACUUCUGCUGCAGAGAUAUCCCCUCUUAUCUGUGUUUUUGUUGUGGUUGUGAGACUCCUGUUCCCGAGGAACAAGUUUGGAAUGUGAUGCACACCUGUUGUUCGUCCCUUUGUGUUA